CUUAAUGAUUUAAGUAUCUGAUACUAAGCUUUCUUGUCAAAUAAACUAGAAGUCUGGCUUUAUUCUAUCUUCAAGUUUGUAGCUAAAUAUUUAUCUAUAGUCUGAAGAAAGACGGAAAAGUCAAGUUGGUUGUAGGAGAAUGCAUUUCUGCACACAUCACCAGAAGCUAUUGAGAAUGGGGAAAUAAUUACCACCAUUUUAAAUGGUCAGGUCUGCCUAGUAAAGGAGGUUCUUUUGUUUUCCAAACAGUGUCCACCUAAUUUUCUCUAAUCUUUAUUUUACCUUCUAGUUGAGUCGUCUGCAAGAUCUGAGGCUGCAUUGGAUCUAGUCCAGGAGUUUGUAGGUUGGGGGAAGUCCUCGUGAAAAUGAAAGCAAGAAGUUUGAUAUCCUUGACGCAAUGCAGUGGCAUACUCACAGGUUCGGGGAUUAGGACAUAAACGUCAUUCAGCCUACUGUACCGGGAGGCGUCACAUUUCCUCAAACCUGGCUCUGAUCCUGGUCUUCAGUCGCCACAGCAGGUUUAAGCUGGGCCGGGGCUCCCAGGGGUCUGAUCUUCUGCAACGCCCCACAGUCAGGCACCUUCUGCUAGAUCCUUCUUCCGCCGCACGACCUGCUCCUGCUCUAAUUUACUGCGCAGCCUGGACAGAGUUGAGCAACUGUGGACAAGAACUCUCAAGUCCCUGCAGAGAACCCAGAAAAUCAUUUCAACCCCAAGGAAUAUCUGGAACACAGAGAAGUGACUGACUCAAAUAUGAUGAAAAUAUAAAGACCCCUUUCACCAAAACAACUACUGCAUGCAGCACGUCACAGCUUACAGUGUCUGAACGUGGAUUUUCUCCUUUGAUCCUUAGG
rnacentral:lncRNA from 1 species